rnacentral:rRNA from 1 species
GGUUAAGCGACUAAGCGUACACGGUGGAUGCCCUGGCAGUCAGAGGCGAUGAAGGACGUGCUAAUCUGCGAUAAGCGCCGGUAAGGUGAUAUGAACCGUUAUAACCGGCGAUUUCCGAAUGGGGAAACCCAGUGUGAUUCGUCACACUAUCAUUAACUGAAUCCAUAGGUUAAUGAGGCGAACCGGGGGAACUGAAACAUCUAAGUACCCCGAGGAAAAGAAAUCAACCGAGAUUCCCCCAGUAGCGGCGAGCGAACGGGGAGGAGCCCAGAGCCUGAAUCAGCAUGUGUGUUAGUGGAAGCGUCUGGAAAGGCGCGCGAUACAGGGUGACAGCCCCGUACACAAAAGCGCAUGUGCUGUGAGCUCGAUGAGUAGGGCGGGACACGUGGUAUCCUGUCUGAAUAUGGGGGGACCAUCCUCCAAGGCUAAAUACUCCUGACUGACCGAUAGUGAACCAGUACCGUGAGGGAAAGGCGAAAAGAACCCCGGCGAGGGGAGUGAAAAAGAACCUGAAACCGUGUACGUACAAGCAGUGGGAGCACCCUUCGGGGUGUGACUGCGUACCUUUUGUAUAAUGGGUCAGCGACUUAUAUUCUGUAGCAAGGUUAACCGUAUAGGGGAGCCGGAGGGAAACCGAGUCUUAACCGGGCGUUAAGUUGCAGGGUAUAGACCCGAAACCCGGUGAUCUAGCCAUGGGCAGGUUGAAGGUUGGGUAACACUAACUGGAGGACCGAACCGACUAAUGUUGAAAAAUUAGCGGAUGACCUGUGGCUGGGGGUGAAAGGCCAAUCAAACCGGGAGAUAGCUGGUUCUCCCCGAAAGCUAUUUAGGUAGCGCCUCGUGAAUUCAUCUCCGGGGGUAGAGCACUGUUUCGGCUAGGGGGCCAUCCCGGCUUACCAACCCGAUGCAAACUGCGAAUACCGGAGAAUGUUAUCACGGGAGACACACGGCGGGUGCUAACGUCCGUCGUGAAGAGGGAAACAACCCAGACCGCCAGCUAAGGUCCCAAAGUCAUGGUUAAGUGGGAAACGAUGUGGGAAGGCCCAGACAGCCAGGAUGUUGGCUUAGAAGCAGCCAUCAUUUAAAGAAAGCGUAAUAGCUCACUGGUCGAGUCGGCCUGCGCGGAAGAUGUAACGGGGCUAAACCAUGCACCGAAGCUGCGGCAGCGAACGUAUCACCCAAGACAACUUUACGGAGUUGACGAUUGACGGAGCGAAGCGACGUCAAAGCGUUCAUUAAAGUCGAGUUGGCUUAGGGAUACGUUCGUUGGGUAGGGGAGCGUUCUGUAAGCCUGUGAAGGUGUGUCGUGAGGCAUGCUGGAGGUAUCAGAAGUGCGAAUGCUGACAUAAGUAACGAUAAAGCGGGUGAAAAGCCCGCUCGCCGGAAGACCAAGGGUUCCUGUCCAACGUUAAUCGGGGCAGGGUGAGUCGACCCCUAAGGCGAGGCCGAAAGGCGUAGUCGAUGGGAAACGGGUUAAUAUUCCCGUACUUGGUGUUACUGCGAAGGGGGGACGGAGAAGGCUAUGUUGGCCGGGCGACGGUUGUCCCGGUUUAAGCGUGUAGGUGUGUGUUCCAGGUAAAUCCGGUUCACUUUAACACUGAGGCGUGACGACGAGGCACUACGGUGCUGAAGCAACAAAUGCCCUGCUUCCAGGAAAAGCCUCUAAGCAUCAGGUAACACGAAAUCGUACCCCAAACCGACACAGGUGGUCAGGUAGAGAAUACCAAGGCGCUUGAGAGAACUCGGGUGAAGGAACUAGGCAAAAUGGUGCCGUAACUUCGGGAGAAGGCACGCUGACACGUAGGUGAAGUGAUUUACUCAUGGAGCUGAAGUCAGUCGAAGAUACCAGCUGGCUGCAACUGUUUAUUAAAAACACAGCACUGUGCAAACACGAAAGUGGACGUAUACGGUGUGACGCCUGCCCGGUGCCGGAAGGUUAAUUGAUGGGGUCAGCGUAAGCGAAGCUCCUGAUCGAAGCCCCGGUAAACGGCGGCCGUAACUAUAACGGUCCUAAGGUAGCGAAAUUCCUUGUCGGGUAAGUUCCGACCUGCACGAAUGGCGUAAUGAUGGCCAGGCUGUCUCCACCCGAGACUCAGUGAAAUUGAACUCGCUGUGAAGAUGCAGUGUACCCGCGGCAAGACGGAAAGACCCCGUGAACCUUUACUAUAGCUUGACACUGAACAUUGAGCCUUGAUGUGUAGGAUAGGUGGGAGGCUUUGAAGUGUGGACGCCAGUCUGCAUGGAGCCGACCUUGAAAUACCACCCUUUAAUGUUUGAUGUUCUAACGUGGACCCGUAAUCCGGGUUGCGGACAGUGUCUGGUGGGUAGUUUGACUGGGGCGGUCUCCUCCUAAAGAGUAACGGAGGAGCACGAAGGUUGGCUAAUCCUGGUCGGACAUCAGGAGGUUAGUGCAAUGGCAUAAGCCAGCUUGACUGCGAGCGUGACGGCGCGAGCAGGUGCGAAAGCAGGUCAUAGUGAUCCGGUGGUUCUGAAUGGAAGGGCCAUCGCUCAACGGAUAAAAGGUACUCCGGGGAUAACAGGCUGAUACCGCCCAAGAGUUCAUAUCGACGGCGGUGUUUGGCACCUCGAUGUCGGCUCAUCACAUCCUGGGGCUGAAGUAGGUCCCAAGGGUAUGGCUGUUCGCCAUUUAAAGUGGUACGCGAGCUGGGUUUAGAACGUCGUGAGACAGUUCGGUCCCUAUCUGCCGUGGGCGCUGGAGAACUGAGGGGGGCUGCUCCUAGUACGAGAGGACCGGAGUGGACGCAUCACUGGUGUUCGGGUUGUCAUGCCAAUGGCACUGCCCGGUAGCUAAAUGCGGAAGAGAUAAGUGCUGAAAGCAUCUAAGCACGAAACUUGCCCCGAGAUGAGUUCUCCCUGAGACUUAGAGUCUCCUGAAGGAACGUUGAAGACGACGACGUUGAUAGGCCGGGUGUGUAAGCGCAGCGAUGCGUUGAGCUAACCGGUACUAAUGAACCGUGAGGCUUAACCUU